rnacentral:rRNA from 1 species
UACAGAGGUCUCAAGCGUUGUUCGGAUUCAUUGGGCGUAAAGGGUGCGUAGGCGGCGCGGUAAGUCGGGUGUGAAAUCUCGGAGCUUAACUCCGAAACUGCAUUCGAUACUGCCGGUGCUUGAGGACUGGAGAGGAGACUGGAAUUUACGGUGUAGCGGUGAAAUGCGUAGAGAUCGUAAGGAAGGCCGGUGGCGAAGGCGAGUUCCUGGACAGUUACUGACGGCUGAGGCACGAAGGCCAGGGGAGCAAACGGG